AGAGUAUAGCUCAGCAGUAAAGCGUGUGCUUAGCAUCCAUGAGGUCCUGGGUUCAAUCCCCAGUACCUCUA
rnacentral:tRNA from 1 species